rnacentral:rRNA from 1 species
AUUGAACGCUGGCGGCAGGCCUAACACAUGCAAGUCGAACGAGUGGCGGACGGGUGAGUAAUGUCUGGGAAACUGCCCGAUGGAGGGGGAUAACUACUGGAAACGGUAGCUAAUACCGCAUACCAUCGGAUGUGCCCAGAUGGGAUUAGCUAGUAGGUGGGGUAACGGCUCACCUAGGCGACGAUCCCUAGCUGGUCUGAGAGGAUGACCAGCAAUACUGGAACGGAGACACGGUCCAGACUCAUAUGGGAGGCAGCAGUGGGGAAUAGUGUACAAUGGGCGAAAGCUGGAUGCAGCCAUGCCGCGUGGAUGAAGAAGGUCUUCGGGGUGUAAAGUACUUGCAGCGAGGAGGCGUUACGCGCAGAAGAAGCACCGGCUAACGCCGUGCCAGCAGCGGCGGUAGUAA